rnacentral:rRNA from 1 species
UGGGGAAUAUUGGACAAUGGGCGAAAGCCUGAUCCAGCCAUGCCGCGUGUGUGAAGAAGGUCUUCGGAUUGUAAAGCACUUUAAGUUGGGAGGAAGGGCAGUUACCUAAUACGUGAUUGUUUUGACGUUACCGACAGAAUAAGCACCGGCUAACUCUGUGCCAGCAGCCGCGGUAAUACAGAGGGUGCAAGCGUUAAUCGGAAUUACUGGGCGUAAAGCGCGCGUAGGUGGUUAGUUAAGUUGGAUGUGAAAUCCCCGGGCUCAACCUGGGAACUGCAUUCAAAACUGACUGACUAGAGUAUGGUAGAGGGUGGUGGAAUUUCCUGUGUAGCGGUGAAAUGCGUAGAUAUAGGAAGGAACACCAGUGGCGAAGGCGACCACCUGGACUGAUACUGACACUGAGGUGCGAAAGCGUGGGGAGCAAACAGGAUUAGAUACCCAUGUAUUCCCUGAGCGGGCUGGCAAGGCGCAU